rnacentral:misc_RNA from 1 species
GUGAAUCAUCGAAUCUUUGAACGCAAAUUGCGCCUUUUGCGGAAGGGAUAUCUGUUUGAGGGCACCAUUUAACAAAUAAUGUGCAUUUCGUGUGCACACGCGGAUGAGCUUGCCAAAAUGGUGUAUGAUUAUUGUUGGUGGCGCAUAAUGAACAGCACUAUGCGUUUUUUCAGUGCGAGGGUAGUAAAAUGUUUUCUUGCAUGGGGUGUGAAAAGCGUGAUCGCGCAAUGGGUGUGGCGAUUCUACGAACC